rnacentral:sRNA from 1 species
UUGGACCAGGAACUUGUAUCCUGGGAUAUAAGACACUUGGCCAAUGUGAGAUAACAUCCAUCCCUUUUCAAGGGAAGUGGGGCCCUACUGAUUAACAGGCACCCCACAGUCACAGGGGAAGGGGCCUGUCCUGAAAGGAAAAGAUUUGAGACAGACAAAAAUAUGACCUGCAGUCUCUACUUCUUACGGUAGUCCUGUGGGCAAUGUUCUGCUACUACCUCUGUUUUGUAAGUUAACCCAAGGCUCAGAAAUUAAAUAUUUUACUCAAGGUCACAGAGCUAGUGAGAAGCAGUUAGAAUUCAACCCAAGAUGUGCCCUGGCUGUUGAUGCUGCGUCUCAGAUGCCGGUUAUUGACCACACAACUCCCGAUCCAUUGUGUGUGUGGAAGGAAAGGCCUCUUAGAUCCUUUUAUCAAUUAGUGGGAGUCUGUCUGCUUGGGCUCCCAUAGGUGCCUUGGGGUACCACGUCUAAGAGGGCCAUUUCCUCUUGGAGGGGUGUUGGGGAGGUCCAGCUCCCCCUCACCUGAUCUCCAUCCUGGAAGCUGUGGUUAGGAAUGAGUUACAUGUUGGUUUUCUUCCCCUGAUAGUCAAUGAGAGUGAAGCUGCAGCCGGCAUCCAGCUCCAAGCUUCCUGCAUUCAGUCCUUUGAUGCCUCCAGCUGUGAUAUCUCAGAUGCUGCUGCUUGACAAUCCACACAAAGAACCUAUCCGCUUACGGUACAAGCUGACAUUCAACCAAGGUGGACAGCCUUUCAGCGAAGUAGGAGAAGUGAAAGACUUUCCAGACCUGGCUGUCUUGGGCGCAGCCUAACUUUUCACAAGAUGGACCCUUCAUUUCAAGCUUAGGCUGGCGUUACUUUUGCUGUCUAGUCAGGACUAAUCACGGUGUUUCAGUGCAGAGUGCCAAGAGUCCUAUCCUGACGUCAGGCUCUGGGUGUCAACCUCUGACUUAUUCUGCAGAUGCUGUGUGUGUGUGUGUGUGUGUGUGUGUGUGUGUGUGUGUGUGUGUGUUUCGGGGAGAGGGUGGUAGCACAGGGCUUGGGAUAUCAGCUGUGUGUGUGUGUGUGUAUGUGUGUGUUCGGGGAGAGGGUGGUAGCACAGGGCUUGGGAUAUUGGCAGUGUGGGAAAUGCGAAGCAUUUCUCAUCAUCAUCAUCUCUGCUACAGUCAUGUUUCUGCAUGUCAGCGAGCGACACUGUCCCUGCCUCAGGUUGGAGGUUUUAUCAGCCAAAGUGUUUUUUUCAUGUAUCGUUCGUUCCAUUCAUCCACUCUGUGCCUUGUCAGCCUUUGAAAGGCUUGGUUGCUCCCAGGCUGCUGUUCUCAGGGACCUUAAAAGGGACCUGGUUAGUCUUGGGGCAGAGAGUAUCUACUUGGGCACUCUCUUCCAAGAAAGACCUUGUCUCCAUUUUCAUUAGACAAUGCUUCUUGUGUGUGUUCUGGAAGAUCUAAAUGGAAUGCUUGUUGCACUGUUCCCAGGCGAGUGGCUGCCAUGAGACCUGAGGACCACACUUGGGGGACCAAUCAUGUCCUUCACCACUGUGCCUUAGAAUCGCCCCUGGACAGAGCUCCUGGGCAGAGGGGAAAGCAGCUCCCAGGCCUUACUCAGGCCUCAGGUCCAUGGGUUGGGCAGCCAGUCUGGGCCCUUCUCAGGAUCCUCAUCUCCAUCCUCAUCCUCUUCCUUCACAGCAUUUACUUGGAGCUCUUUGUGACACACCAUGUCAGUCAUGGUGAAUCGGCCAACAGCCAGCCCUUGCCAGCUGACGUCACAGUCUAAGAUGGGAAACUGUGGUACAGAUAGACAUGAAGAGAGCUUAGCAGUGAUUGAGGUGGUGACUAAAUAUACAGUCAUUGAAUAAAUACCAUGUAGCAAAUGU